GCGAUAUGGAUUUCUUUUACAAAGGUUAUCACAAACACGUGGGAUAAUUUGACCCGCUGGUUUACUACAACUGGAUGGUAGGUCGCGUGUGCUGUGCGCUUUCCUGCAGGGACCGCUCCGCCUACCCUUUUCGCAAUGUUGACGCAAUCUAUAAAUAGUAGAACAAAAGGACAACUUCCUUGAAGCUUGCUGAAACUGCAUAAAAGGAUAAAUGUUGACGUUGGAGAACAUAAGCCCCGAUAUUUUUGCGAAGUUUUGUUUUCUAAAGAGUACACGUUCUAAGAGUUGGAUUACAUGAGAUGUUCGAGUGUCAUACAUGAAAGAUUAUUUAGACACAAAACGGACUAGUUUUGAAGCGUUCAACUUAUGUGAGGUACUCGGCGUAAGGAGAUUGACAGACCGGACCUCCAUACAAUAGUCAACCUAGAAUUGGGAAAAGUCCAAAUUAGGACAGUGAUGGCGUCACCGACCCAAUCAUCGAUGUUCAGCGUGGCCAUGAGGGUGGGACAUCCGCUUUCGCGGAGUACUUUGUUGCAAACAAUAAGCCAUUUACAAUACUGAGAACUGAAGAGGGUGGCUGUUAUAUUUUGUAAUGACCGAUUCAGAGUAGAACUUGGGCAAGUAGGCCGGCGUAUGGACGAAAUAAACGGAAAGUAUCGCUACAAACAAAAGUUCGCAUUUUCACCGGACUGCUUGACGAUGGGUUGGAUUUUUAUUUUAAAAGUUAGGAGAAACGAUCUUUACAAAUAACCUAAUAUAGUUCUUGUUAACAACUGGUGCUCGAAGUGUAAAUAUUACGAGUAGCACCGUGGUUAAACGACUGCAACUCAAAGCUCGAUUGAACAGCAAGUCCUUAAUGCCCGAAAAUGUUUAUUCCGAUGGAAGUUUGGUACAACAAAUGCAAGAUACAGUGCUUUUAAGAAAAAGUCUCAUGCAGUCUGGUUAUAGAAAUACAUUCUGUCUGACUGAUUGCUACAAUCAUACUGUUAAAAAAGACCAGUAAAAGUUGUUGUCUGUA